rnacentral:rRNA from 1 species
UGCGUAGGCGGCUUUGCAAGUCAGAUGUGAAAUCUAUGGGCUCAACCCAUAAACUGCAUUUGAAACUGUAGAGCUUGAGUGAAGUAGAGGCAGGCGGAAUUCCCCGUGUAGCAGUGAAAUGCGUAGAGAUGGGGAGGAACACCAGUGGCGAAGGCGGCCUGCUGGGCUUUAACUGACGCUGAGGCACGAAAGCGUGGGUAGCAAACA